GCCCGCAUGGAUCAGCUGGUAGAUCGUCUUCCACAAUUAUCAUAGCGCAAUCUGCAUUUGAAGGAGGUGGAGGUUCGAACCUUCCUGUGGGCA